AAUAGAUACCCUGGUAGUCCACGCCGUAAACGAUGAGUGCUAAGUGUUAGAGGGUUUCCGCCCUUUAGUGCUGCAGCUAACGCAUUAAACACUCCGCCUGGGGAGUACGGCCGCAAGGCUGAAACUCAAAGGAAUUGACGGGGGGCCCGCACAAGCGGUGGAGCAUGUGGUUUAAUUCGAAGCAACGCGAAGAACCUUACCAGGUCUUGACAUCCUCUGCCAACCCUAGAGAUAGGGCGUUCCCCUUCGGGGGACAGAGUGACAGGUGGUGCAUGGUUGUCGUCAGCUCGUGUCGUGAGAUGUUGGGUUAAGUCCCGCAACGAGCGCAACCCUUGAUCUUAGUUGCCAGCAUUCAGUUGGGCACUCUAAGGUGACUGCCGGUGACAAACCGGAGGAAGGUGGGGAUGACGUCAAAUCAUCAUGCCCCUUAUGACCUGGGCUACACACGUGCUACAAUGGAUGGUACAAAGAGCUGCGAACCCGCGAGGGUAAGCGAAUCUCAUAAAGCCAUUCUCAGUUCGGA
rnacentral:rRNA from 1 species